rnacentral:lncRNA from 1 species
GCGACUACUUCCAUUUGAAGGUAAUUUCAUUCAUCAUUCAUUUGCAUAUUGUGAUUAUAACUGGCAUUAAUCUGUUGUAUGUUGUGAAAGUGGUGCUUAAUGAACUUCUUUUAAAAAAUUCAUUUAAUUGUAUUAAACCAGCUAAACAACCAAAGUUUUCUAGCAAUUGUAGGAACCUGUAGCUUUAUUCAGACCCACCAAACUUAUAAAUUGUGUCUGAUAUUAAAUCUUUUUUUUUGGAGUUGGAUAUUUCUUUCGGCCAACUGUGAGCUUUGACGACUUCAUGUGACAGGAGAACUUAAUCUUUUUCUGUAAAUUGAUAUGGAUGCAGUUUGUGAGUGGCUCGUAUGACCAUCUUUCAAACUCUUUGAUGGGUGAUUUCAAUUUGAUUGUGCAGGUUACCUUGUGAGAAUGAUGAUCUUCUAGGUGAUGAUGAGGUUAGCUUGGGAUUAGAUGUUUGUUGUCAUCAUUCCAGGGUUGUUGAAAAUUUUAAUUUUUAGAAUAGUGAAGCAUUUGAAUGAUGUAAAACUUUAUGAUAAACAUUUUUAUUUUUGAAAGUGAUGUAAUUUGUACAUGAAUUUGGAUGUUAAUAAAAUUUCAAUUUUCUGUGUUCUUCAAAUUUUCUGCUUCUUCCAAUGGAUUUCUGCUUUGUAGAAAGCAAAGGCGUUUUUUUUU